CCCGUUCAGCUUCUCAGUCGCCAGGAAAUCCCAGGUGACCUGCAGGUACUGGGAGGUCUACAGAGAAGACACUGGACACCCUGGAAGCCUGGAAAUGAUUAUGUAGGGCCGGGUGUCCUGGGACGGGGGAGGCAGCUUGUUGGAGCUGCCUGGCAGCGGCUUUGGCGGGACCCAGGCCUCCUUGCCUCAACUUCGGAGUCUUGAGACCAAAAAUUGCCAGUGCAAUACAGUGGCCUUCAGUCCUCUUCCGGCACAGGCCACAGAGCUCAAUUCUUUGGGUAAAAGGCCAUUACCUGCUCUGACUGCUUCUUCACGGAGAAGGGUUAUGUGAGUAGUGAGCUCUGCAAUCAGAUUUCCAUCAAGGAUGUUGAUCAUCUUCUUAUCAGAACUGAUUAGCACCAAAGGACUAACAGUGGCAUAGACAUUGACCACAAGUGUCUGGACACUGAGGAUCACUGGGUCAUAUGCCUGUAAUAGGACUGAGGAGAGUGAGAGGAUGAAGUCCAGCCAGUACAUGACCACAAAGGAACUCACCAGUAGCAGGAUGGUCUGAGUGGCUCUUUUUUCUGGGGUGACUCUUUGGGAGAGGCUUGUACUGUGAAGGUGCUUAUAUUGUCUCUGGUGCCUGGACAAGAGAAUUGCCAUGUAUGUGCUUGAAAGCAACAUAAUUCCUGUGGAGGAAAUAUCCCUGGAUGUUGUAAGAGUGAAAAAAAGAGCCCUAAUUAUGGGUUUCGUGGGGUAAAAUGAGCAGUAUUUGCUUAAUUUUAAUAGAUUGGUUUGGGUCAUAUUGGAGUAAGCCACAGUGUAGAAGAUCACAUUACUACUGGAAGACAAACUGAGGGACCACAGGAAAAAGA